AUUGAACGCUGGCGGCAGGCCUAACACAUGCAAGUCGAGCGGAUGAAGGGAGCUUGCUCCUGGCUUCAGCGGCGGACGGGUGAGUAAUGCCUAGGAAUCUGCCUGGUAGUGGGGGAUAACGUCCGGAAACGGGCGCUAAUACCGCAUCCGUCCUGAGGGAGAAAGUGGGGGAUCUUCGGACCUCACGCUAUCAGAUGAGCCUAGGUCGUAUUAGCUAGUUGGUGAGGUAAAGGCCUACCAAGGCGACGAUCCGUAACUGGUCUGAGAGGAUGAUCAGUCACACUGGAACUGAGACACGGUCCAGACUCCUACGGGAGGCAGCAGUGGGGAAUAUUGGACAAUGGGCGAAAGCCUGAUCCAGCCAUGCCGCGUGUGUGAAGAAGGUCUUCGGAUUGUAAAGCACUUUAAGUUGGGAGGAAGGGCAGUAAGUUAAUACCUUGCUGUUUUGACGUUACCAACAGAAUAAGCACCGGCUAACUUCGUG
rnacentral:rRNA from 1 species